CAGGCUCCAUCUUUAUUCACAUCAGCUGGGGCACUUGUUGUUCCCAACUGAUGUUCAACUGAGAGGUGAAUGGUAAUGAGUAAAAGAACGUCAGUGUCAAUAUUACUUGGGGGGAAGAAAAAACUCCCCCCAGCAGGCUCUACAGGAUUAUUAUCUGACAGAGAAGAGUACAGACUGCAAAUGGGUGUGGCUGUUAGUGAAUAUUAAAGUGACUUCUCAAAUGAUCACCGACUGUGAGUGAGAACAUGGAUACUAAUGAUCAUGACAAGAACGGCUGUCAUUUAUGUGGUCUGCAGGAUGGCAGGUGCCCUGGGAAAGGACUCUGCAUCCCUCGCCUCAUUUCGUCCCCACUCAUCCUUGUCCCCAGGGUUUAGUUGAGAAAAUUGCACCUCAACAGGGUUGACAGGUAGCAGAACUUCAGAUGUCUAUGUUUCAAAGGCCUGAGUGGUUUCCACUGUCCCCCCCCCGGCCCCCCAUACCCACGGCAGACAGACAGAUGGACUAUGCACGUACAGUUGUAACGGGCCUCUCGGAGAGCGAUCAAAAUCAACUGCUCUCCUUGUCCCCUGUGCCCACUCCCACCCCCCAGAUGGGACACGUUCUUGUCUUGCCCCUAGUGGAGGCUGAGAUGGGCUUUUCCAGCCACCCUCAUGUAAUACAGAACACCCUGUUCACUGUAUGUCCUGAAGGUUUCUCAUUUCAGUAAUGGGUAUAUUCCAUCCAACGUAAGGGUCCAAACUCCAGACCUCCCUAGCGGUACACUUCGGCCGUGUUCUCCCCUGGCUGGGUCUGCUGCUGACUGCAAGCUGGUGGUGGGAGAGGCUGGGCCGUCAGCCCCACCCCCGUUUCUCUGCCUUUUGCCUCCCCCAGUGUGGUAAACGGUUUCUGAUCCCUCCAGGGUCCGAGUGGCGGAGGGAGGAGGGGUCACGAAAGGACAAAAGGUUUUACUGGUUAAGUCCUGUCUUGAACUUGCUGCCAUAUCACAAGGUUGCAUGAAGAGAUUAUCAUUUUAGCACCGCACACGAAAAAGGCAGAUUUGUUGAAUUUUGGAGGAACGCUGAGAAAGAGUAAUGAUCUCCAAAACUAACUGAGCUCGUUUUCUGUGCUGUACAAACACAUACACUAUCAGAAGUGGCUACAAUUACUUUUUCCCAUUUUAUUGUUAGGGAAACUGAGGCUCUGAGAGUAACCCAUCAAGCUCAGAUAGCUCAUUACAUGGGAGACCAGGGAUUAGGGCCCAGAGAAUCUGACUUUAGAACUUGGUCUCUUAACCUCUCUGCUAUGUGAAGUUGGAUAUCUAUCAGAGAGGAAGGUAUUAUUCGUUACCAACUUGACAAUUUGCCUUCUUUCUUAUUCUAGGGAAUAUUGCCAGACUGGAUAGUAUUUCCUUUUAACAGCUGGCACCAAAGCAAAUUGAAUGAAAAUGAGUAACCUGAAAAAAAAAAAAAAAGAAAAAAAGCCCCACUUUCUGAAAUUGUACUAAUUUAUGAUCAUAAAGGGAACUCUUGUGUUUGAAAAUAACCAACAACUCAAUUGGAUGGUGUGUGUAAAGAAUCAGGAAAACAAAACAAAUCUCAAGGGAGCUCAUUUGUAUAACUAGAAACUAUCUCAAGAAAAUUAUUUCUUGGCAUUGCGUGAUACUUGGGAGCGUAUUUCAUACAGUCAAAUUCGCACCCAGAAAUAAUUUGUUGUAGGAAAUAAGACACCCUCCCCUCAACACAUGGCUUGCGGGGAGAGAGGAAUACAUCACUGAUAAUGACUAUCACAUAUACAGCUUUUAUGUCAGUUGCUGUAUUUGUCCCUUUCCCCAUGCUGUAGUUUACUGGUACUCACGAUAGCUUUGAAGCACUUUUACAUAUUACAGUUUCCCAAAAGCAUGUUUAGUUCAAGAGAUUGGAGGAUUUGGGGUGGAAGUGAGCAGUGUGGAGUGGCUGCCUUGCACACACCAGUCUUCACCCCUUUGUCUAAGCCGCCCCCUCGGUACGGUCCAUCUACACUGUCUCUACCUGUUGAACUCUUACUCAUCAUACAAAGCCCACACAGAUUGUCACCUCUUCAUGGAAGUCUUUGUCAUCACCACAACCAGAUGUGCCGUCUGCCUCUAUUGGACCGCAGAAUGUUUUAUAAUUCACCUUUGCAACAUUCUUCCUUGUAUGAGAGUUAGCCUAUCUUUGUCCUGGUUAGAGAGUUGUUACUUGCAAGGUAGCAUAGUCCAGCUUGGGAGCAGAGGGUGCCAAGCUAAGGCCCCCAGGCCAGAUUCUCCCCACUGCCUAUUUUUGUGCGGCCCUUGGGAUAGGAAUGAUUUAUGUAUUUGUUAAUGGUUCAGAAAAAGUUAAAAGAAUAGUAUUUCACAAUAUAGGAAAAUGAUAGGCAAUUCAGAUUUCAUUGUCCAACACUUAAUUUUUAUUGAAACACAGCCGUGCUCUUUUGUUUAUGUAUUGCCUACGGCUGCUUUUGCACUAAUACGGCAGGGUCGAAUACUGAUGACACAGACCGUGUGGCCCACAGAGCCUAAAGUAUUUUCUGUGUGACCCUUUACGUUUGUUGACUUUUGCUUUAGAGCAGGUGUUCUAUCAGCAGAACUUGGAGGGCUCGUUAAACCAGACUGUUGGGCCCCACCCUUAUAGUUUCUGAUUCAGAAGGUCUGGGGUGGGUCCUGCGAAUCUGCAUCUCUAACGAGUUCCCAGGUGGCCCUUCUGCUGCUGGUUGGAACCCACACUGCGAGAAUCACUGGUCUAGCGGUAAAGGAUGGUCUUUGAAAUCACAGGAGGAAUGAUAAAGGGCAAGUACUUCAGGAACAAAACCAUGCUGACAUCUUCAAGGAACCAGAUAGGAGUGCCCCCAAAGAACUAUAUAGGACAGAAUGUGAGCGGGGGAGAGACAGAGAGACACAGAAUCCGAAGC